GUCAUUGGGUAUAUUUAAUUAAAACCCAAAGGCGAAAUUAACUUAACUAUUAUAUAUUAAUAUAUAUAAUGGGAUUAAUUAUAUAAAUAUUUUUAAUAUUUAUAUAUUCCAUCCCGAGGCGUUCUAUAUAGUUAUGCAUUUUAAUAAAUUUUUAUAAAUUUAUUAUUUAUGCCUCUAACUAGAGCGUACUUUGAGCACACAUUUUGUGACCCGAAAGAUGGUGAACUAUACCUGAUCAGGUUGAAGUCAGGGGAAACCCUGAUGGAGGACCGAAACAGUUCUGACGUGCAAAUCGAUUGUCAGAAUUGGGUAUAGGGGCGAAAGACCAAUCGAACCAUCUAGUAGCUGGUUCCUUCCGAAGUUUCCCUCAGGAUAGCUGGUGCAAUUAAGUAUUAUAUGGUAUAAUCUUAUCUGGUAAAGCGAAUGAUUAGAGGCCUUAGGGCCGAAACGACCUUAACCUAUUCUCAAACUUUAAAUGGGUAAGAACCUUACCUUUCUUGAUAUGAAGGUAUAGGUUAUGAUAUAUUGUGCCCAGUGGGCCAUUUUUGGUAAGCAGAACUGGCGCUGUGGGAUGAACCAAACGUGAUGUUAAGGCGCCUAAAUUAACAACUCAUACUGAUACCAUGAAAGGCGUUGCUUGCUUAAAACAGCAGGACGGGGGACAUGGAAGUCGUAAUCCGCUAAGGAGUGUGUAACAACUCACCUGCCGAAGCAACUAGCCCUUAAAAUGGAUGGCGCUCAAGUUGUAUGCCUAUACAUCACCGUUAAAAUAUAUGAUUUAUUUAUAAUAAAAAUAUAUAUAAAUUUUGAAACUUUAAUGAGUAGGAGGGUACAAUGGUAUGCGUAGAAGUGUUUGGCGUAAGCCUGCAUGGAGCUGCCAUUGGUACAGAUCUUGGUGGUAGUAGCAAAUAAUCGAAUGAGACCUUGGAGGACUGAAGUGGAGAAGGGUUUCGUGUGAACAGUGGUUGAUCACGAGUUAGUCGGUCCUAAGUUCAAGGCGAAAGCCGAAAAAUGAUAAGUUAUUUUAAAUAUAUAAAAUAUACACACUUAUUAAUUUUAUGAACGAAAGGGAAUACGGUUCCAAUUCCGUAACCUGUUGAGUAUACGUUUGUUAUUAAAAAUGGGCUUUUAUGCUCAUCCUGGCAACAGAAACAACCAUAAAGAAGCCGUCGAGAAAUAUCGAAAGAGUUUUCUUUUCUGUUUCAUAGUCGUACUACCAUGGAAGUCUUUCGAAGAGAGAUAUGGUAGAUGGACUAGAAGAGCAUGGCAUUUACUGCUGUGUCGAUAUUUUCUCCUCGGACCUUGAAAAUUUAUGGUGGGGUCACGCAAACUUCUUAACAGGCCGUACCGAUAUCCGCAGCUGGUCUCCAAGGGAAGAG
rnacentral:rRNA from 1 species